CACAGAUGCAACAGUUAUUUUUGCAAAUCAUAAAUUGUUACACUUAAAAAAAAUAUUAACACUUGAGAUGACGGAAAUCAUUGUGGUGUGCCACGAAGAUGUGAAAAAAUAGGCAUAAAUCUAGCUUACAAAUUAUUCAGGCUAAUUGUAGUAAUUAAGGAUCAGACCUGUUUGAGGUCAUAUAUGUAUAUAAGGACAUCUGACAAAUUGGUUUGUCCGUCAAGAACCAGGAAAAAAAAUCGAUGAAACAAUUGUGGCUAUUUCCUCCCACGCCUGUUUAACCGACGCUAUUUUGGGUGGGUUUCUCCCAUCCCCAUACAACACAACUUCUCUGUCUUUCACUGCUCUUACAAGAACAUCAGUCUCCUCGGCUGUGAACCGCUCCUGGCGUGCGCCUGGUAAAUACGCCAUAAUAAUAGCAAUCCAUAAUGGAACUUGCGCACCUGCUUUUAAAGGGAAUGUUGGAUGACGCUCUGAUUGGUUUAUUUCACGUUACGCCCAAACCACACCUAUGAAUAAUGAAGCUACUUCAGACCAACCCAUUUUAGAUUUGCGCCGGGCGCAAGAGCCAUUUAUCCCGCCGGGAAAAUAGCAACAGCGCCGAGACCCGCCCACAAACUUACUUGCGCUUCGCGCUUUGACACUUGCGUUUCAGAUCGUUAAAAUAGGGCCCAAUAUGUCCCUACCAAAAACGGUGUAAACAAGGCGAUUGAUGACAUCAACACAAUAUUCCAUAAGGCAGCUAUCAGAGCUGACCUCAUAAAACAGAAACAGAAGCCUAUUAGAAGGCAAAAUGAUGAGAAAUGGUUUGAUAAAGAAUGCAAGACCAUCAGAAAGGACCUUAGAAAUAUAGCAAAUGAAAAACACCGCCAACCAAACAACCCUGCCUUACGCAUUAGAUACAAUGACAUUUUAAAUAAAUACAAAUGUACAAUUAGGAACAAAAAACAAAAUUAUACCCACAUGAAACUUGAAGAUAUUGAAAACUCCAUUGACCAAAAUCAAUUCUGGAAUAUGUGGAACAAGUUCAACACAAAACUACAACAGACAUUACCCAUGCAAAAUGGUGAUAUCUGGAAAGCACAUUUUGAAAACCUCUACAAAGACAUACCAAUUAAACAAAUUAGACCAGAACAAAAUAUUAUAAAAGAAAAACUCCAAACAUUAGAACAAACAAUUAAAGACAAUCAAAACCCUCUUGAUUCUCCAAUUACUUGGGAAGAAUUGAUCACACAGACAAAAUCUCUCCAGUCGAGGAAAGCUUGUGGUCCAGACAGAAUUAAAAACGAGAUGCUGAAAUGCAGCACCCCAGAGGCUGCAGUGUUAAAGCUGUUCUACAGUCAGGAUGUUUCCCGGACAUUUGGUGCAAAGGACUCAUUUCCCCCAUUCAUAAGAGUGGGGACAAAUCAGACCCUAAUAACUACAGUGGCCUCUCUGUCAGCAGCUGUCUAGGCAAAUUAUUCUGUAGCAUUCUGAAUAAAAGAAUGCUAGAUUUCAUUGAGGAACACUCCAUCUUAAGUAAAAGUCAGAUUGGCUUCCUCCUAAAACACCGCACCACUGAUCAUAUAUAUACCCUUCACACCUUAAUUAAUAAACAUGUACACCUAAAACUAAAAAUGGUAAAAUAUUCUCUUGUUUCAUUGAUUUCAGAAAAGCUUCUGAUUCUAUUUGGCAUGAAGGUCUCUUUUACAGACUUCUACAGUGUGGUAUAGGGGGCAAAAUGUAUGAUCUAGUUAAAUCUAUGUAUUUAGAAAAUACGUGUGCUGUUAAAAUUGUUAACAAACAAACAGAUUUUUUCACCCAGAGAAGAGGUGUUCGGCAGGGUUGCAAUUUAAGUCCAACAUUAUUUAAUAUUUACAUCAAUGAGCUUGCUGUUGAGUUAGAUCAAUGUGCUGCUCCUGGCCUCUCCCUUCUAGAUAGAGAGGUGAAGUCCCUGUUUUAUGCUAAGGAUCUCGUUCUAAUGUCCCCUACUAAACAAUGAUUACAGCAACAGCUGGACAUAGUAGAAAAAUACUGUCAGAACUGGGCUCUGGCUGUAAAUAUGAAGAAAACUAAUAUCAUGAUCUUCCCAAAACACCCAAGAUGUCAGGAGAACAAACAUCAAUUCACCAUUAAUAAUGGUGUCAUUGAACACAGCAUGAGCUAUACCUACCUUGGUAAAACCAUAUCAGCAUCAGGGAGUUUCAACAUGGCAGUGAAUGCACUAAAAGAAAAAGCUCGAAGAGCUAUACAUGCAAUUAAGAGAACAUUUUAUAAUUUCCAAAUUCCAAUUAAAAUCUGGCUUAAAAUAUUUGACAGUGUCAUCCAGCCCAUUGCGCUGUACGGUAGUGAAAUAUGGGGUCCACUCAGUCAUCAGAGCUACACCCGUUGGGACAAACACCCAACAGAAUCUCUUCAUGCAGAAUUUUGCUGAUACAUUUUACACGUACACAGAAACACACCAACAAAAGCCCCUUUGAAUUGAAUUUAAUUGAAAGUGAGAGAGAGAGAGAGAGAGAGAGAGAGAGAGCAUGGGUUAUUAAAGUCAUAUGCUUGUUGAGUGUCUAUGUUUAUUGUUUUUACAGUAGACUGUAUGGGUCUUUGAAAUAACAGUAGUUUACUGAACUGAUGUGGAACUGUAAUGAGCUCAACACCUGGAAUUACUUCAUUUCCAUGCAGUUUCUUAAUAAGUUAUGUUCUAUUAUGAAGAUAAUUAAAUAUACAACAGCACAACCAUGUUAAAAGCUGUAACAAUAACAAACACUUACCUAAAUGUAGACCUUAUAACCACUGACCAUAUGAAGUUCACUAACUCAAAGUUAUUUAAAGACACACAUACCUUGAUGUUCACAGCAGUGUUUCCAGUGUUAUGAGCUCAAGCAGUCUUCAGUACACAGACACCUGAACACAACACAGGUUAUAUAUGAUGUUCUGGGUGUGAAUAGUGGCAAGCCUAUCGUGUCAUUCAUGCUAUUCUACAAAUAUUCUCUUUACAAUAUUUCAUUGAUUACUGAUGAUGCUGCCCAUUGUUGAUCAGGAUGAGCCAGUUCAGGAAUCUGAUCUGUUUGCUUUCUUUGUUUCCUCAUCAUUCUCACAUAACCAUAACAUCUAUCAUCUAUGAUCUUCAGUCAGUAGCAGCGGAUGAAUAUGUUUGGUGUAGAUUUGUUGUCACUAAUAUAUGCUGUCAUUGAAUGAAAGGACGGAUGAGUUUAAUUCACACCCGGGCUAAAACUACAGUUUUCUCAGCCAAAUAGUAUUUACAAUUAUUUUUGAUAAUCAUGACCUUUCUUGUUGUUAAGUGUGUCUUUGUAGUCAUUUCUCCUGUAAUAGAAUAUAACUGUUACAAUAGGACAUUUUAUUUAAUUUACAAAUUGCAAUUUAAUACUUUAAUGUCUUGCAAAACUCAUAAUUUUGUGUGUAUUUUGCCUCUUUAGCACAGUGUUGGGAAGGUUACUUCGGAAAUGUAAUCAGUUACAGAUUACAAGCUAUUUCAAUUUAGUGUAACUAUUUCAAUUACUUUAUUAAAGUAAUAAGAUGAUUUUUGAUAACUUCUCUAAUUUCCAGCACUGGUGCAGAUUUGUAUCACUCUUAGAUAGACUGUAGCCUAAAGACCCGAUCAAAAGCAUCAGAAUGUCUUCGCUUUUCUAAACGGCCUUUUAAUGGCAGAAAACACAUCAAAAACACAUCAACAAAUUAGUAGUACAUUUAUUCAUUUAGCAGAUGCUUUUAUCCAAAGCGACUAAUAAAUGAGAACAAUAGAAGCUGUUAAACUAACAGUAGAACAACAAAAUGUCAGUGCUAUGACCCUUCGCAGUUCAAUCUAACGCAGUACAUGUGUUUUAUUUAUUUAUUAAUUUUUAUAAAUAGAAUAGAAGAUAAAGUGUUAGUAUUCAUGGAUCAAGUGUUGCCGAAAAAGAUGCAUCUUCAGCUGCUUCUUGAAAAUGGCUACGGACUCAGCAGCUCUUGUUGAGUUAGGCAGAUCAUUCCUCCAGCAGGGAACAGUCCAGGUAAAGGUCAGAGGUCAUUCUUCCAGCAGGAACAGUCCAGGUAAAGGUAAGAGGUCAUUCCUCCAGCAGGGAACAGUCCAGGUAAAGGUCAGAGGUCAUUCCACCAGCAGGGAACAGUCCAGGUAAAGGCCAGAGGUCAUUCCUCCAACAGGGAACAGUCCAGGUAAAGGUCCGAGGUCAUUCCUCCAGCAGUGAACAGUCCAGGUAAAGGUCAGAGGUCAUUCCUCCAGCAGGGAACAGUCCAGGUAAAGGUCAGAGGUCAUUCCUCCAGCAGGGAACAGUCUAGGUAAAGGUCAGAGGUCAUUCCUCCAGCAGUGAACAGUCCAGGUAAAGGUCAGAGAUCAUUCCUCCAGCAGGGAACAGUCCAGGUAAAGGUCAGAGGUCAUUCCUCCAGCAGGGAACAGUCCAGGUAAAGGUCAGAGAUCAUUCCUCCAGCAGGGAACAGUCCAGGUAAAGGUCAGAGGUAAUUCCUCCAACAGGGAACAGUCCAGGUAAAGGUCAGAGGUCAUUCCUCCAGCAGGGAACAGUCCAGGUAAAGGUCAGAGGUCAUUCCUCCAGCAGUGAACAGUCCAGGUAAAGGUCAGAGAUCAUUCCUCCAGCAGGGAACAGUCCAGGUAAAGGUCAGAGGUCAUUCCUCCAGCAGUGAACAGUCCAGGUAAAGGUCAGAGGUCAUUCCUCCAGCAGGGAACAGUCCAGGUAAAGGUCAGAGGUCAUUCCUCCAACAGGGAACAGUCCAGGUAAAUGUUAGAGGUCAUUCCUCCAGCAGGGAACAGUCCAGGUAAAGGUCAGAGGUCAUAAUUGUUAUAAUUGUGAUGAUUAUGGCUUACAGCUUAUGAAACCCACAAAAUCUAAAUGUCAGAAAAUUUGAAUAUUACAUGAAAUCACACUGUAGUUACACAGUAAUCCCAUGGUCAUUGAACCAGGUUUUGGUUAUUUUGGCAGUGUGGGCAGGUGAAAAUCCUGCUGAAAAUCAUCUUCAUAAAGCAUCUUCAUAAAGCUUUUCUGCUGAAGGAAGAAGGAAGUUACGGGUUUUGUGUACUGUGAUCAUCAUGGAUUAUACACGUUAUUCCCAGGUAUGUGUGGUGGCUGAGUUGUUAUAGGUCUGCGUGACUCUCGAUGUCUAAACGGAGGAAUUAUGGUAUUCUUCUGUAGCCGGACGAAUAAUUUAACUGUUGUUCAUGUGAAUUCCGAUUUGUGGGUGGCUGUUUGACCUGUCAAUUAUAGGGUAAAUCCUGACUAUUUGACGAUUUGCCUGCAUAACAGCAAGUGCACUUGUAGCUGUUAUCAGUGGCCGUAUUUGUAAGGGGGAAUGUUGCUAAUACACUGCUAAAUCAUAAAUCAGAUGUCCAGCAAUCGAUUUAAAUAGUACAUUGGGUUUAAUUAGUCGUUUAAUGAGACCUAAUAAUAAUGUUUUUUCACGUUAAUAAACACAUAGAUCUGCCUAACCUAUGUAUGACUUUAAAAAACACGGGUUACAGGUUGCCUGGAACGCAGCAUAAGUGUGUUAUGCCCGUGCAGACCUCUACACCCAGACACGGAAGAUAGCACCGUCCUCAUAUGCAUGCUCCUGGGAGCAUUUUAGGCAGAAUUGGUCACUUUUGCAUGAAAAGUUACAUUGCCACUAGAAAUAUGCUAUUCUCUCUCAGAAACGCUGUUCUGAGCUAGAUAUGCUUUAAAACAGCUAGUUUCAUCAUAUGCAUGCUCCUGGGAGCAUUUUAGGCAGAAUUGGUCACUUUUGCAUGAAAAGUUACAUUGCCACUAGAAAUAUGCUAUUCUCACUCAGAAACGCUGUUCUGAGCUAGAUAUGCUUUAAAACAGCUAGUUUCAUCAUAUGCAUGCUCCUGGGAGCAUUUUAGGCAGAAUUGGUCACUUUUGCAUGAAAAGUUACAUUGCCACUAGAAAUAUGCUUUUCUCACUCAGAAACGCUGUUCUGAGCUAGAUAUGCUUUAAAACAGCUAGUUUCAUCAUAUGCAUGCUCCUGGGAGCAUUUUAGGCAGAAUUGGUCACUUUUGCAUGAAAAGUUACAUUGCCACUAGAAAUAUGCUAUUCUCUCUCAGAAACGCUGUUCUGAGCUAGAUAUGCUUUAAAACAGCUAGUUUCAUCAUAUGCAUGCUCCUGGGAGCAUUUUAGGCAGAAUUGGUCACUUUUGCAUGAAAAGUUACAUUGCCACUAGAAAUAUGCUAUUCUCUCUCAGAAACGCUGUUCUGAGCUAGAUAUGCUUUAAAACAGCUAGUUUCAUCAUAUGCAUGCUCCUGGGAGCAUUUUAGGCAGAAUUGGUCACUUUUGCAUGAAAAGUUACAUUGCCACUAGAAAUAUGCUAUUCUCACUCAGAAACGCUGUUCUGAGCUAGAUAUGCUUUAAAACAGUUAGUUUCAUCAUAUGCAUGCUCCUGGGAGCAUUUUAGGCAGAAUUGGUCACUUUAGCAUGAAAAGUUACAUUGCCACUAGAAAUAUGCUAUUCUCUCUCAAAAACGCUGUUCUGUGCUAGAUAUGCUUUAAAACAGUUAGUUUCAUCAUAUGCAUGCUCCUGGGAGCAUUUUAGGCAGAAUUGGUCACUUUUGCAUGAAAAGUUACAUUGCCACUAGAAAUAUGCUAUUCUCACUCAGAAACGCUGUUCUGAGCUAGAUAUGCUUUAAAACAGCUAGUUUCAUCAUUUGCAUGUUCCUGGGAGCAUUUUAGUAAAUAUCCUAUAUAAAAUAUAACUCACACUGUAAAAAUUAAAUACAAUCAAAUUGGAUGUUUAAGUCAUUUCAACUUAAAUGACUUUAAACUGACUUUAAAGGAGUUGAAUCUUGUAUAAAAAUAGUUGAAAAUUGAUUAACUUAUUGUGAUGAGUUAAAGGAUUCUAAAAGCAUAUGUUGUCAUAACUUAUUGAUCACAUAUCUUUUUACAGUGCAGGGUUCGACAUUAAGCCUUUUCAUGUCCUUGUCCUUAAGUCAAGAUUCAUAGCGUAUUCAACUAAAUCGCUCAGGUAAUGUUAAUGUACGACCCAUUUCAGACGUCUUGGCUAUAGAAAUAUAUCUUCGUAUGUAGAAAAACUUUAUAUUUUCAGGGGAUCAAGCCUUAUAAACACCCCUGUAAUCUACUGGAUCCCUCUUCACAUUCAGCUUCACAUUUCCUUUCAUUAAUCCCUCUUCACAACACAAUAUUUUGUACUCAUAUUUUGUGAGGUGCUCUGGAAACAUGUAAAAAUGUGAACCGACAACACAAUGUUGUUUUCCGUUACACGACAAACCUGUUAUUCCUGCAUUUGUCAAACAGGUUUCCUGUAAAACACACUUGGUGCAGAAAUGAAAGUUAAACAGGUGCAGGACAAAUGUGUGUGUAGGAAAACUUGUCUUCUGGAACAAUAAUGGAAUGUAAAGAAGAUUAUGUUCACAUAUUUUAGUCUUGAGUGGUGUUGUUAUAAACAAAGAGGACGCAGGCCAUGACUAAUGUUGGGCGAGAACAGUUAAAGCACAUAAACACACUAAUCUGCUCAAUGAAGAACAGUUAAAGCACAUAAACACACUAAUCACUGAAGAACAGUUAAACCACAUAAACACACUAAUCUGCUGUUACACUAAUAUGAGUUGACAGAGAGAGAGUUUUCUGAAGUCAGAGUAGAAAAUGAGUGAGAGGAUCGAGAGUUUAUGGUAGGAUACAGAAACUCUAUAUAAUGAGUUCACAUCAUGUCUACAGGUUCUGAAUAACAGUGCAGAUCGUUCUAGAAAUGUUGCUGAGGGUCACAGUCAAACUCUGAUUUAGGCCCCUGUUGGAUUCUCCCGGAGAUUACUCCUUUGGCACGGUCACAUGCGUCUCAUAAUAAUAUAAAUGUAACGGUCACCAGUGAGAGUGCCCGGGAUUACCAUCAGAGGGAACUCCACAGACUCCAUUCCCCAUAAUCCUUUGCCCAGACCAUCAUCCAUUAUCACUUUCACCUGUGUCUCAUUAUCCUGUUUAGCUCACACUAUAUAAGCCUGGUUUUCUCAUUCAUUCUCUGACAAGUCUUGUUUAGUGUUUGUAUCCCGUUUCACCCGUGUCCUGGUUCUCUUGAUUCUCUGCCUGUUUCCUCGGAUUUCUCUCUUUGCCUCAGCCCUGUGUGACACCGUCACAUUAAGUUAAGUGUUCCUUUUGAAACGGCAACCUAUAUGCUUGCUUAAAGUAUUGUAUGGGUUAUAUAUAAUGUUUGUAUGAUGAAUGAUACUCAUGUGUAUUCCUUUGUAAUUUAUUUAGUUUCCACUGUGUAUUUUGGUAAUAUUGGGGAUGUCUCUUUAAUUCCUCGUUAGCCCUUAAUUUGAAGGAAGGUGCGCUCAAGCUUACUUGAGGGUGUGAAGAGAAAUCAACAGAAAGGGAGGUGUGUUGUGAAUACAUGGCGCCAUUAUUGUUUGCUGCAGCUAUGGACAUUUAAAGCUUGUUCUUUAUGGUUUGAGAGCCUUUUCAAACAAUACCUAAGAGACUGCUUUAAUGGUGGAGAGAAGGACAUAACAUAUUUUAACCACCUGGACUGUUUAUUCAUGUGCACGUCGCCGGCAAGAGGACGCGACCGAUCCCAAACUGUUUAAGUGUGUGGGUUAACAUUGCCCGACGAUCUACGUUACGGGUCUGGUGAGAUCAGCUUCAUUCUUGUAUUUUUUGGCGUGGUAUACCACUGGAUCAACACUCUACAUUGUUUUCUUUUUUUGUGGAUUACGUUUUUUUCGUUACGUUCCAAACAGAGGAUUAUUCUCACGGACUAACUUUUUCCUGGUCGGAAAGAACUGUAGCGCGCUUCUGAGCCAGCCUGAAAGUUUUCUUUAGUUUGGACUUUCAGUUUUAAUUUUGUGGACUGGGACAAAAGGGGGAAAUUGUGUGUUUGCACGGGAUAAUUGAUCCUGUAUAAUAUACCGCGCUAAGUGUGUCAUUCUAUGGAACUGUUUGAUGCGUCUUUUGUUUGAAUGGUGUUCAGCACCAUCUGAAUAUUUGUUUGUCGCUGUGAGCUUUAUUAAUUCCAUUACACCUGCUCUUAUGCAUCUUUAUCUAUUUGAGAAAACAUUGAGUCUGUGACAUUAUUGAAGCGUUGUGAUACCAGUGUGAUUACUGCUUUCAUUCCAAAGAUCCUCUUGUGCGUAUAUAUUAACACCGCCAUUUAAAAAGAACAUUAAAGGGCGAAGUGUUACAGAUGGUGGCCCGUACAGGGAAUGAAAUGCAAUUUUUGUAACUUUGCUCUAUUGUUACCAUAGUGAUGUGAAUAUUGGUUGAAGUUACUUUGUAAUUAUAUCCUGGAUCUCGCUGAA